rnacentral:rRNA from 1 species
CAGCCGUAAACUAUGCUCGCUAGGUGUCAGGCAUGGCGCGACCGUGUCUGGUGCCGCAGGGAAGCCGUGAAGCGAGCCACCUGGGAAGUACGGCCGCAAGGCUGAAACUUAAAGGGAUUGGCGGGGGAGCACAACAACGGGUGGAGCCUGCGGUUUAAUUGGACUCAACGCCGGACAACUCACCGGGGACGACAGCAAUAUGUAGGCCAGGCUGAAGACCUUGCCUGAAUCGCUGAGAGGAGGUGCAUGGCGUAGACGUCU